GAACAGCUGUAAUGGCUCUUGCUAAUAGGUCAUCUGAUGGAUCAGUUUUUGAUUCAUGCCACUGGGCUGACGGUUUGCCUUUGAAUCUUAGACUCUAUGAGAUACUUCUGGAGGCAUGCUUUGAUAUAAAUGACGAAGCGUCUAUCAUAGAGGAAGUUGAUGAACUUAUGGACCUCAUAAAGAAAACUUGGGGGAUUCUCGGACUUAAUCAAAUGCUUCACAAUAUUUGCUUUUCAUGGGUUUUAUUUAAUCGUUAUGUCGCGACUGGUCAAGUUGAUAACGAUCUGUUAGACGCUGCUGAUAGUCAGCUAGCUGAAGUCGCUAAAGAUGCAAAGACCACUAAAGAUCCUGCAUAUGCUAAGAUCCUGAAUUCUACAUUAACAGCAAUGCUGGGAUGGGCUGAGAAAAGGCUUCUUGCAUACCAUGACACUUUUGAUGCUGGGAAUAUUGAAUCAAUGCCAACCAUUGUAUCUAUAGGGGUAUCUGCAGCAAGAAUUCUUGUUGAAGAUAUUUCUAAUGAGUACCGGCGGCGGCGUAAGGGCGAAGUUGAUGUGGCUCGUAGUAGAAUUGACACUUACAUCAGGUCAUCACUUCGCACUGCAUUUGCACAGUUAAUGGAGAAGGCGGAUUCAAGCAGGAGAGCAUCAAGACACCAACCAAAUCCUCUUCCUGUCCUUGCCAUCCUUGCAAAGGAUGUUGGUGAG
rnacentral:misc_RNA from 1 species